rnacentral:rRNA from 1 species
GGCCUGGCCGGGUGGUCUGUUUAACAACGUGUACUGUCUGGCUGGGUCUUACAGUACCUCUUGGUGAGCUGGCGUGCCCUUUACUAGUGUGUGUCGGGGAACCAGGACUUUUACCUUGAGAAAAUUAGAGUGUUCAAAGUAGGCCAAGCCUGAAUACAUUAGCAUGGAAUAAUAAAAUAGGACAUGUGGUUCUAUUUUGUUGGUUUCUAGAAUUGCCGUA